rnacentral:rRNA from 1 species
UACAGGGGGGGCAAGCGUUGUUCGGAAUUACUGGGCGUAAAGGGCUCGUAGGUGGCCAACUAAGUCAGACGUGAAAUCCCUCAGCUUAACUGGGGAACUGCGUCUGAUACUGGAUGGCUUGAGUUUGGGAGAGGGAUGCGGAAUUCCAGGUGUAGCGGUGAAAUGCGUAGAUAUCUGGAGGAACACCGGUGGCGAAGGCGGCAUCCUGGACCAACACUGACACUGAGGAGCGAAAGCAAGGGGAGCAAACGGG